GGUCAUGCACAAGGAAAUACUAGCACAAUCCUUCAUUCAAUAAUCAAGAUAAACCUACAAUCAUGUACAAGACAUCGCACACAAUACAAUCAUACUCAAUAUCUAUGCUACCAUCAAUUUUAUACAUUCCAUUCGGUCAAGAAAAAAACGAAAAUUUUCAUCCUGUUACUCUACACACUAGGUUUAGAAUCCAACAACUUCGGUCCGGACUUCGUCCCUACAUCAUCUGUAAAAAUGAAAGAGUGAGUUCAUUUAACUCAGUACAGUAAAACUCAAAAUACAAGUGUGAAAUGCAACAAUAUAAAACCAUAUGCCUUUACCAACAGUUCACUACUGAACUCCAGUUUCCCCUCCUGUACCUACAAUCCUACCUACCCAGGGUUUCCAUUCCCUGACGGCACUCCAGGCGUGCCAGUGAUACCAUCCACCGCCAAGGUCGGCGACCAUUAACCACUUAUCGACCCCUAUUGGGCCACACACGCACACUAUUUUCAAUCAUUUUCGUCACCUUCAUCAGCGACUAUUAUUCACCUACCGACCCCUAUCGGGCAACAUACACACACUCUAAUCAUUCUCUCUCGUCACCACCAUCGGCGACCGUUAGCCAUCUAUCGACUUAUACCAGGCCACUCACACACACCCUGAUCAUUCUCUCUCGUCACCUAUAUCAGCGACCACUAGCCAUCUCUCGACCCAUACCAGGCCACGUACGCACACCAUUUUCAUUCACUUGUGUCACCAACAUCGACGACCAUUAGCCAUCUCUCGACCUAUACCAGGCCACUCACACACACUCUGAUCAUUCUCUUCCGUCACCGAUAUCGGCGACCACUAACCAUCUCUCGACCCAUACCAGACCACGUACGCACACCAUUUUCAUUCACUUGUGUCACCAACAUCGACGACCAUUAGCCAUCUCUCGACCUAUACCAGGCCACUCACACACACUCUGAUCAUUCUCUCCUGUCACCGAUAUCGGCGACCACUAACCAUCUCUCGACUUAUACCAGGCCACGCACGCACACCAUUUUCAUUCACUUGCAUCACCAACAUCGGCAACCAUCGUCCACCUAUCGACCCCCAUCGGGCCACACACACACACACUACUCAUUCUCUCCCAUUGCCUCUCUCCGCUCGCUACCUGCGACAUGUCCUAGGUGCCCCUACUCACACCGUCCUUCUCCCCCAAGGCUCCAGCUACCCCACUCCACUCCUUCAAGCAUCUCACUCACCCGGCGGACCCUUCCUUUCCCUAGCAUUCACUCACUGCCUCUCCCUAUCUCUCGCUCGGACUACAUCUUCCCGCCACACCAUCUUUCUCACCUCACUCACCCCGCGGAUCCUUCCCUUCCCCAGCGUUCACCCACUGCCUCUCCCUAUCUCUCUCUCGGACUACGUCCUCACGCCACAACAUCUUUCUAUCUCCUCCCGAGUUACUCACACCACCCUUUCCCUCUCCCACAGCUCACUAACCUCAUACCUCUUCCUCUCUCCUCCCGCGUUGCUCGUACAACCUGCUCACUCUCACACAAUUCACACACAUCUUUCUCUCUUUCCCCGCGUUGCUCACACAACUCGUUCCCUCUCACACCGCUCACUAACCUCACACAUCUUCCUCUCUCCUCCCACGUUGCUCACACAACCCGCUCUCUCUCACACAGUUCACACACCUCUUUCUCUCUCCUGACCUCCACUCACUCCACACUCCUAUCUCUCUCCCAACCUCCACCCGUGCCGGCACCUUCUCCCUCUCUCCUCCCGUGAUUCUCAUGCGGCCAAUUUCCUUCCACCCGCCUUGCUACACAUACUCACCCUACACGGCCUCCUCCGUACACCGCUACUUCCGUAAGCCGUGACCACGCACGCCGAAUAUCCAAACAUUUCAAACUCAAAUCAACACACGUAUUUGAAGUUUGUUAUCGUACCUCUCAUUUCUAUCUUCCUUUUUUCGGCCGAAUGCGCUAUCACCAUCCGCGAUCUCCUCUUCUCUCCGUUCCGCUUCCUUUCUCUCUCCUUCUGGAAACUUCCUUCAUCUCCCCUUCUAGAACCUUCCUUCAUCUCCUCUUUCUCUUUCCCGCUCCCCUUUUUCCUCUGUUCUUUUUCCCUUUUUUUUUUCUUUUUCUUUCUCCUCCUUCCUUCCCUCGCCCCCUACUUAUAUCAUCCCAAUUUUUUCUCAAAACGGCGUCGUUUUCCUCGUUGCAAAACGAUAUCGUUUUUCUCUUUCCAAAACGACAUCGUUUUCUCCCCUUUAUAAAACUAAGUCGUUU
rnacentral:lncRNA from 1 species